GGGUAUCACCAGGACAAAGCAUCUAACUUCUGUAUGGUACCUCAUAUUUUUCAAAGAAGCUCUUACCUAUUCUCUGUUUCAGUCAUCCACAAUAAUCCUGUGAAUCAAACUAGGCAGAAUUUAACUUCUAAUUAAAAAAAUGUUUAUGGGAAAUAAUCGAUUUCCCUAAGAUCACAUAGAAAAUCAAUUAAACAAGCCUGGGCAGU
rnacentral:lncRNA from 10 species